AGCGCCCCCUUCAUUCUAAGCCUCCUGCUUCGCCUCUCUUUUCCUCCUUCCGAUCCCACCCCCCCUGUCGGGUGUUUGUCGGACCCUACCCUGACCUCCCCUCUCUCCCUGUCCCCUCCCAUGCCUCUCUCUCUAUCUCUCUCUCUCUCUCGAUUCCUUCUCUCUCUUACUCCCGCGCUCCUCUCCCCGCCUCCUUCUUCUGUCGCCCCACGGGGCUCGCAGGCCCCCGUGCCCUCUCC
rnacentral:lncRNA from 1 species